GGGCUUGUAGCCUAAUGGUCAAGGUGUUUGACUGGGACUGGAAUGUUGGUGGUUCGAGUCCCAGUGUUGCCA